CUGGUUCGGAAUGAACGCUAGUGGUAUGCAUUACACAUGCGAGUUGAAUGUUGUUGAAACAUAGCGUACGGGUGAGUAAUGUAAAACAGAUUUCCUUAUGGUUAGGGAUAAUAAGAAAUUAAUUUUUUUACUAAUUAAUUAGAUUAAAAUACCUUAUAAUUUUUAAAAACAAAAUAGAAAGGUUAAAAAAAAGNUUAAGCCAAGCUUAAUUGCCAUAAGAUAUUGUUUUAUAGUAUUAGAAGUUCAAUAAAUUGUUUUUUAUUUUGUUCAAUUAAUUUGAUUCUAUAAUGCUUAGUGGGCCUUAACGGGUGUACCACCACACUGGAACUGAAACAAGGUCCAGGCUUUUUAAAAGACAGCAGUGAGGAAUAUUGGACAAUGAGCGAAAGCUUGAUCCAGCAAUACCACGUGGGUGAAGAAGGUAAUUUUAUUGUAAAGCCCUUUCAGUAAAAAAGAUAAUGACAUUAUUUACAGAAGAAGCUCCGGCCAAUUCUGUGCCAGCAGCCGCGGUAAGACAGAAGGAGCUAGUGUUAUUCUUAGUUAUUAGGUGUAAAGUGCUUGUAGACGCUUUAAAUAGUUAAACUUUAAAAACCAAGGGUUUAAUUCUGGUAGUUGGUUUAAUACAUUUUUAGUAGAGUAUAGUAGAGGGUAGUAGAAUUUUUAAUGUAAGGAUAAAAUCUUGAGAUAUUAAGAGGAAUGCCAGCUGCGAAGGCGGCUACCUGGACUAUUACUGACGUUAAAGGGCGAAAGCUAGGGUAUCAAACGGGAUUAGAGACCCCGGUAGUCCUAGCCGUAAACGAUAGAUGUUAAAUAUUAGGAAAAAUUUUUAGUAUUACAGCUAACAAGCGUUAAACAUCUCACCUGAGAAGUACGGCCGCAAGGCUAAAACUCAAAGGAUAUGACGGGAAUUUGGACCAGCGGUGGAUCAUGUGGUUUAAUUCGAUAAUACGCGCCAAACCUUACCAUCUCUUGCAAUUAAUUAACAGGUGUUGCAUGGUUGUCGUCAGCCCGUGUUUUGUGAUGUUAUGGUUUACUCCUUUCGACAACGGGCGAAACCCUCCGCUUAGUUAUAUUUUUUUAUAUUUAUAAUUNUUUGUNAUAUAAAAAAUAUUUUUUUAAGUUUUUAUGGUCAGUGAAAAUUGAAGGAAGCAGGGAUCACGUCAAAUCUUCAUGGCCCUUAUGAGAUGGGCUACACAUGUGAUACAAUGGCAUAACAAAAAGUUGCAAAUUGGUGACAAUUAGCUAAUCUUUAAACAUUGCCUUAGUUCGGAUAAUAAACUGAAAGUCGUUUAUUUGAAGUAGGAAUCGCUAGUAAUCGUAGAUCAGCACGCUACGGUGAAAUUUAAAACAAAUUUUGUACAAACCGCCCGUCAAACUCGGAAAGUUUGUUCUAUUUGAAGCUUUACCAUUUUAUUUUAUUUAGAAAUUUAUAUUAUAAUUUGUAUUGUGAUAAUAGGGUAAGUAAU
rnacentral:rRNA from 1 species